CAGCUGGAUAUAACGACUGGCAAACCAGUGUUUAGAGGUGUUUUUAGCCGUUACGAGGACAAACACCGGUAUCCAGCACAUAGCCAUAGCAUGCAGCAGCCAACAUCAAAGUGGCAGACGUCGCCUCCGGCAGCAUGACUGUCUCUGCAGCCUGUGGCGCAGCCAGCAUGCACCAGGACGCUCAGCGACACCCUGGAGGACCCAGAUUUCUCCAGCAGCCUGACUGUUGCAUCGUCUGCCCAUGUGGCUACGGUCGUCGAAGAGCACCCUGUGGUUGGUUUCUCAGUCGGCUUUUCCAGUCACAUGCAGGGUGAAUACCAGGGUGUGGGUGGAUGCUCGGCGCCCACUUAAGUACAGGCACCUGACUAAGCAAGUGCGUCAGCUCUGUUGCAGUGGAUGUUUGGGGAGAGGAAUGCGGUUUCGUCGAAUAUCGAGAGUGGCUCAAGGAGUAUCGACCACCGCAGAGAUAUUGCACAGCAAUGUGGUAUCACGAGGCGCCAAUGAGACACUAAGAAGAAGCUGUGCGUCCCGUAGUUGCGAGGCGCCACCGCCACGCUUCUGCCCUGAGGCCAGGAGGGCAUUUCUGUUCAAGGUCAGAUCCUGUCCACUUCAAGAAAGUUCCUGUCGGAGUAACGUCGUUGUGCUGCCUACUCGCUGUAACACAGAUCGUAAAGAGACUUCUGUCACGUGUGAACUAUGGCUACGCCCCAACACUAACAAAACUGUGUCAACAAGUGUCUGUGGACUUGUGUUCUCUAGUGACUGUAGUGAGGGCACAUUACAGCCAUUCUGAACCUUUAUCAAUUCUCCAUUCAGUGAUCGUGGUUCAUGUAGUGCGUUCUGAACCGCAAAUCUGAUUCUGAAGUUUCAUAGCCACAGCCGUGUUUGGCGAACAAAGAGAAGUUUUGUUGUACUUAAUAAAGAAUGUUCACAAUGUUCUA